UACGUAGGGACCAAGCGUUGUUCGGAUUUACUGGGCGUAAAGGGCGCGUAGGCGGCAAUUCAAGUCAUCUGUGAAAUCUUCGGGCUUAACUCGGAACGGUCAGAUGAUACUGUUUUGCUAGAGUGCGGAAGGGGCAAUCGGAAUUCUUGGUGUAGCGGUGAAAUGCGUAGAUAUCAAGAGGAACACCUGAGGUGAAGACGGGUUGCUGGGCUGACACUGACGCUGAUGCGCGAAAGCCAGGGGAGCAAACGGG
rnacentral:rRNA from 1 species